CUCGGAACCCGGGCUGCUCGAUCUUGACAUUGUGCAAUUAAACCUUCUGAGGCAUGUUUCUCGUGUCAAGUGGGUUUAUGGUCGGUAGUCACGAAGCCAGACUCGCUCAUGUUGAGUCUGGACAGAGCACACAUGAACCAUGGACAUCAAUCCAUUUUUUUUUUUUUUAGUUAAGUUUAAUAUUUUGGUUGGCCUAAUGUCAAAUUCUUCAAAAAGCUAGAAGACACAUCCCAAAGAGAAAAAUCUCUGGAUUUUGAGGAGGAAAGCUUGCUAAGUCUCAGAAAAUGAUAGUGGCUGCAAUCAGUUAAAAGAAUAACCAAGACUGGCUCUGACAACAUGGCUGAGUGACCCACCAAAGAAUUGAUUUGAUGUUUUCAUCCUUUCCUGAAUUGCUCAUAUAUAAAUCAAGAAGAAAAAGACCACAGUCCUGUGUACUGAGUCUCAAAGUGUGUUCCAGGGAAACUGGGAGAGUCAGGGAAUCCUCUGAAUCCCCUUCAGAGGGUCCACAAGUGCCUAUUUGUACCAAGUGCCGUUGUGGGUGAAGAAGGCCCAGGUCAAUGUACAAAACAGGUGAAACUCCAGUCCUCUUGGAUUUUUGUAAAGGGCGAGAGAUGACAAACAAUAAAAUAUAAAGAAUAUCAGAUGAGGAUUAGUGCCAUGGAGAAAAGUCACAAGAGAAGUGAAGGCACAGGUGAGGGUAUUAGUUUCCAGGACGGUCGACACUAGCAAGGAGGUGACAUUUGAACAAGAUCGUGAGGAUCUGAGGGAGUGAAGCAAGUCACAUCUAGAGGAACGGCAUUUAGGACGGAGGAAGCAGCAACUGCAGACGCCUGAGAACAUGAUGCCUUUCACAGAGCAGAAUCUCCAAGCACAUUUGUGGGUUGAUUAUUGCAUCAGACUCUUCAUUCACAUUUUGAAAGGAAACAUCCAAGGAUUAGGUUUGCUACUGCUGUAAAAGAUAUAAAUCAAUGUUUCCAUGACUGUGGACAAUUAUAAUAAAUGUACUAGAAAAUACACUCUCACUUUUGUGAGAUGUACGAGGAAAUGCACUUUACACUCAAAAUCUCAGAGAUCUCCGUGCAAGGUGGGGAUGGCGUGAGUAAACAGAGCUAAAGAAGGACGGGCACGGGGGCCAGAGUCAGCUACACGGGGACCUGCUCUUGGAGACGUGACGCGCCCACACGGCACAGUCGUCGCUGCUGCUGUUACGCUCGUCUUUAUCCACCAAGCGCACAUCAGAGUCUCUGCUGACAAAUGAAUAAAUGAGUUUUUCAGCGAAGUCCUAGUCGGCAUUUCUAAGUGCUUGCAGAGAACCGAGGAAGAGCAAAUGGCUUCAAAUACAAGAGAAAAGAUUUCAUUCAAUAAAAGUUAUUUGAGAAAAAUGCUGGAGCGUGGCCUUCCGGGUUUAGGGGACGUUUGAGAAGAAAACUCACAUCCAUCUGUGAUGGUUCGAAAAAACUGUCUGCUUGCGGAGAAAAUAGGCUGGAGGAGCCCAUCUCCUCAGCUUCCUCUGGUAUUAAGGUGAGCUUAAUCCUUGUUAACUGGCGUUUUAUUACUGCAGCUUUCGGUGGUAACAAACACCUUCCCGAGCUGUGAACAGCACUGACGUGGAAAAUAUCGUAACCUGCGAAGCGCCAGCCCUGGUUCCCUGAGAGCAGGGACAGUGCGUCAGCAGGUGCCCAAGGGGUGGCCUGUGGAUACAAACUUGGAGGCUCAGGACGUGGACUUUUCAAAGACCUUGAAACCUGGAAAUUGCUUACAAAACGCAGUGCCUUCCUAUCCCGUUUUCAGGGGAGAGGAUCAGUCUCAAAGGUAACUCUGUAGCCACUGCCGUGGGGAAUUUUGGCACAAACACUGUGUUCUAACUAUAUCUGAUGGCUCCUAGGACAUCACAGCCUCUUAAACCUCUACGUCUUUGCUGAGGUUGGGAGGGUUUCCCAGGGCCCCCGGCGCGACUUUCCCAGGAUGUGCGCCCCAGCCUGCCGAGCAAACGAGGGGCCGUCUCCCCCCCUCGUUCAGUAUCAAGGCACUUAGCCACGCUGCAGGGGAGCCGUGGGCGCCCCGCCUCCUGCUCCUUCCUGCGUCCCAGCAGUGGGGGCAUAGUUUCUGGAAUCGCGGCCAAAUGAUACGUAUCGGGUUGCGUUGGUCCCUCACCGCUUCCACACACAAAGCACCCCCUUCUGACUUGACAGUCCCCUUCAGGACAAACUCUGGAAUCCCCUCUGUCGCUGUCAGCCUCCCUCGUCUACCACUUCGGGGAAUUUCAAAAAAAACACAGGCACGGUGGGGGGUUAAACGGCCACUACUUUCAGAGUCACACCGAGGCCAGCCUUGUGUUUUCUGUCUGCUUCUCUCUCUCGAUUAUUUUGGCACAACUGACUGAACAAAUAAAGGGGUUGGGGGGUGUGUGAAAUGAUGCAAUAAAGUUCUAACAUGAAGCUAGAGGGCAACACUGUGAUGCAUUCACGUUGACGGGUGAAGGCAGAAAACGGUGACGCUGCCAAUGUUUGCUAUUUUAUUAGAAUGUAGAAACCCAUUAAACUGAUUGCGCUGUAAGCAUGGCUUGCUGCGUCUAUGUACUCUACUCCGACAGAGAGGGUGUAAAGUCUGAUCUUAAACGGAGGCUUGCAAUGACAUUUACUUUCCUGACCUGCACAGCCAAGUUAAAGUUUAUGUAGUCCUCCCUUAAAGCCCCGAGAAAUAUAGGUUUGAGUCAAAAUGGCCUUUAUGACUCUCCUAGGAGGAGCUCUGGCUGAGUUCAUAGAGUCGAGGCAUGCCCGGGGGCACUGUUCUUAAAUGUGGAAAACGAUUUCCUAACCCAGAGCCAGGCUUCGGCCACAAUGAGAUUACACCGGCAUCAGAAAAAGAAUGGGGCUCAGAUCUUCAGACCAGAACAUCCGUCCACAAGAACAUCAUGGAAGAAACGCAGUUUUCUCAGUGCCUGAUGUCUGCUUCUAUAAAAAUAAUAGAGAAGCAGAGAGGGGGCAAUAAGGUAAAUCGAGCUGAAGAGUAUCAGGAAGAAUGGCAGAACAUUUGGGUCUUGGUAAAUGGAGUGAGAUUCAGGCAUGAAACUAAGGCCCUGAGCAGCUUAGUUUCAGAGAAGAGCCAGGAAUGUUUCUCAGGAGUUGUAAGCAGUGGGCCCUGGCUGGGAGUCAGCUGAAGAAGAGGCUCACUGGACGCGAAGGACCUCGGCAUCACACAGCGUGUGCACGGCAGGUGCCUCUGGGCUGCAACGGAAAGAGCCGCACACAGGUCCGCAGAGCACUUAGUGAAAAGCACCGGGGGCCGCCUGAAGGCUUCGCUUCAGAUGAAAACUGCAGGAGGACUUCUGAACUGAAGUUAGGAGGACACAGUUAAUGCUCUGGAUAGCAAAACAUGUGGACCCAGAGAGAAGCAAGGUCCGCCUUCUCACAGGUGAGACCACACUCCCCAGCACAGUGAAUGUUCUCUUUUGCAGGUUCUAAGAAUCAACUUAAAAAAAUCAACUUCAGGGCUUCCCCGGUGGCGCAGCGGUUGAGAGUCCGCCUGCCGAUGCAGGGGACGCGGGUUCGCGCCCCGGUCCGGGAAGAUCCCACAUGCCGCGGAGAGGCUGGGCCCGUGAGCCAUGGCCGCUGAGCCUGCGCGUCCGGAGCCUGUGCUCCGCAACGGGAGAGGCCACGACAGUGAGAGGCCCGCGUGCCGCCAAAAAAAAAAAAAAAAAAAAAAAAAAAAAAAUCAACUUCAAUCAGCUUCAAGGGUAUCUCGUGACAUUUGAGAUAUAGGUAAAUACAUGGAUUAUUGGCCUCAGUUUCAAUAUUGUUUUAGAAUGUUUCUAUUCAGAAGAUUUCUUGACUGACAAACUUUGAAAUAAAGUUUAUGUGGGGUGUAUUUAGGGAUUCAUCGGGAAUGGGAUAUUUUGAGACUAGAUUGUCAGAUGGCUACCCACUCCUGCUCCUUGAUGAGAGAUGGGGAAAUAUCUACAACAGCAUGGGUGGGGAUCCCUGCACCCUCUCAAAACCUGAAUCCAUCAUGCUUUUACACAUGCUCCUAGACUGCUUCUCAUGCUCCCACAGAACAAGGUACGCCCCCCUUCCCUCUGAUGUCGUGGCAGUGUUGAAGAUUCUUGGCAGGGUCUCUGAGUUCUCCUUCUUCAGUCAAAAUAUCCUUAGUACCUUCAGUAUUUCCUCAAAGGAUCUUUUAAUUGUCUUGGCUGCUUUUAUCCUGAAUGUGCUGGCUUAUGAAGAAAUAUUAGGCUCAGAAUUUAAGGUCUAUUUAUUCCUCGAUACAUAAUCAUGAAAAGCGUCAAAGAGCUAAUCUGAAAUCUGCAGAGAAGAGCAGAACCACCAUGUGAAGAUGUCUCUAGUACUAGUCUGUGAUGCGCGAGCAGUUAGAGAGCUGUAUUAGCAGAGUCACAUGCUUUCUACUGACUUAAAACCUAAUUCAUAAUUGCCCCAAAUUGGAAGCAACCAAAAUGUCCUUCAACAGGUGAAUGGAUAAACAAGCUACGAUACAUUCAUACCACGGAGUAUUAUUUAGCGAUAAAAGAAAGAGCCAUCAAGCCACGAAAAGACAUGGAGAAAUCUCAAGUGCUGGUUACUAAGUACAAGAAGCCAACCUGGGUGGUUUCUGGAGGCAGGGGGUAGAGGUGGGCAAAUGGAGUCACAUCUAGUUAUAAAAUAAAUAAGUCCUGGAGACGUCACAUACAGCACGGUGACUGUAGAAAACAGUACCGUAUUGUAUAUUUGAAAGUUGCUAAGAGAUUAUCUUAAAAGUUCUCAUUACACAAACACACAGAAUUUGUAACUGUGUGCAGUGAUGAAUGCUAACUUAAUUUACUGAGGUAAUCAGUUUGCAAUAUAUACCCACAUCAAAUCAUUAUGUUGUACAUGUAUAACGAAUUCAAUGUUAUGCAUCAAUGAAAUCUCAAAAAAAUUAAAAAGAGGAGCAGCCAAGCCAAUCUGAAAAGACUCCAUACUUCAUGGCUCCAACUAUACGACAUUCUGGAAAAGGCAAAACUACAGAAACGGUGAAAAGACCAAUGGCUGCCGGUGUUUGGGAGCUGCGGGAAGAGGACCGAAUAGGUGAAGCACAGGGAAUUUUUAGGGCAGUGCAACUAUGGUGUAUGAUACUAUGGUGGUGGAUGAAUGACAUGCAUCUGUCAGAACUAUAGGGGGAGCUGAGUCAAGAUGGCAGAGCAGGAGGACGUGGGGUUCACCUCUUCCCACGGGGGCGUGAAGAGCGUAUUGACAGAUGGAAAUGCUCACAGAGCACCUGCUGAACACUAGCAGAGGACCUCGGAAACCUGGAAGGACAAGACAGAUCCCUGUGCAACUGGGCAGGACGAAAGAGAGAAAAGGACUAGGAAGAAAAGAGGAAGUAGGACAGGGCCUGUGCCCCUGUCGGGGAGCUGAAGGAGUGGAGGGGUUCCCGCUCCCGGGGAAGCCCCCACUGCAGAGGAGGUCAGCUGAGACAGAAGGGGAGCUUUGGGGGCCCUGAGGAGAGCAUAGCACCCAGUUGGUGGCAGGCAGGACACAGUGAGACCUACACAGAUGGUCAUGCCACAGCGCUGCAGAACCCAGCCUGAGAGGUAUGGACAGGGGCUGGGUGCUGGGACAUGGGGUUUGGAGAGCAAACCUGGGGAGAGGCCUGCUGUUGGCUGUGCAGAGACAGCCUGAGGGGAAAGGAGAGAGGAGCUCUGCAACCAGGAAAGCUCCCGGAGGAAGCCUGGUCUGCCGUACAAGCAAAGGGCCGUUGUUGGGUGCCGCGCGGAGGGCGGGGUCGCCAUUGCGGCCUCUCUCCCCCGUGCCGGCCCCUGCCCCUGCGGGCGCUAGGAGGGGCUCCCACCAGGGCCGGUUCGUGUGCCUCAUUCAGUCGCCACCUCCUCUCCCUCCCACCUGAGUGAGCACACGAGCCCCA